rnacentral:tRNA from 1 species
AGUAAGAUGGCCGAGCUUAGGCAGAAGAUUGUAGCUCUUUUAACGACAUAUUUGUCUCUUAUUA